rnacentral:rRNA from 1 species
CCUACGGGAGGCAGCAGUGGGGGAUAUUGCACAAUGGGGGGAACCCUGAUGCAGCGACGCCGCGUGGGUGAAGAAGCGCCUCGGCGCGUAAAGCCCUGUCAGCAGGGAAGAAAAUGACGGUACCUGAAGAAGAAGCCCAGGCUAACUACGUGCCAGCAGCCGCGGUAAUACGUAGGGGGCAAGCGUUAUCCGGAUUUACUGGGGUGAAAGGGGGCGCAGACGGCGAUGCAAGCCAGGAGUGAAAGCCCGGGGCCCAACCCCGGGACUGCUCUUGGAACUGCGUGGCUGGAGUGCAGGAGGGGCAGGCGGAAUUCCUGGUGUAGCGGUGAAAUGCGUAGAUAUCAGGAGGAACACCGGUGGCGAAGGCGGCCUGCUGGACUGCAACUGACGUUGAGGCCCGAAAGCGUGGGGAGCAAACAGGAUUAGAUACCCUUGUAGUC